UACAGAGGGUGCGAGCGUUGUCCGGAAUCACUGGGCGUAAAGGGUGUGUAGGCGGGCUUUUAAGUCAGUGGUGAAAUCUCCGGGCUUAACCCGGAAACUGCCGUUGAUACUAUCUGUCUUGAAUAUAGUGGAGGUGAGCGGAAUAUGUCAUGUAGCGGUGAAAUGCUUAGAUAUGACACAGAACACCGAUUGCGAAGGCAGCUCACAAAACUGUAACUGACGCUGAGGCACGAAAGCGUGGGUAGUCAAACAGG
rnacentral:rRNA from 1 species